rnacentral:lncRNA from 10 species
GAUGAACCCAAAGGACAUUGUGCUAAGUGAAAUAAGUCAGGCACAGAAAGACAAAUACUGCAUGAUCUCAUAUGUGGACUCUUAAAAAGUUGAACUCAAAGAAGUAGAGAGUAGAAUAGGGGUUACCAGGGCUUUCAGGCUUGUUGGGGGGCAGUUGGGGAGAUGGUCAAAGAACAUAAAAUUUCAGUUAGACAAGAGGAAUAUAUGUUCAAGAGAUCUAUUGUACAACAUUGCAACUAUGAUUAAUAACAUAUAUUUUUGAAAAUCACUGAGAGAUUUUAAGUCACCCCUAAAAUGAUAACUUUGUGAGCACAUGCAUAUGUAAUUAGCUUUAUUUAACCAUUCCACAAUGUAUACAUAUUCCAAAACAUGUUGUCCAUGACAAAUAUACAUAAUAAAAUAAAAAAAUCCUGGCACAGAGCUGGCAUUUCUGAAGUGUUAAUUCCUUGUAACGCCAUUUCUCAAAUCGAGAUUCUACCUGCACGCACAUACCACAGGCUUCCAUCUUUGCUCUGUUUUAGUUCAUGACAGCCAGAGUUGCCCUCAAGAUUUUCUAGUUUUUUGGUUCCCAAACUGGGAUUCCCCAGCUCUCAGGCCCUGAGAAAGUUGUAACUAGGGUCUGUGGGUUAGUUUCAACAUGCUGAAAUCCUAACAAAAAUCAUUCAUGGGUGGGAGACCAGGUUAAGAAGGGAUCAAGUGUCUUCGCCUUUGUCUGUGAUAUGGACUCACUGUGGUAACUCUGGUUGCAUCAUGAUCAUCAGAAGGCCUGCCUGACAUUUAUACGUCUGAUCCCUCAAGACAGAAAGCUUAUUAAGCUCCUAUUUUAGAGAUGCAUUCUGGUGGGCAACAUCUUUCAGAAACACUGAAUUUAUGGGAAAAAAUAGUAAAGAAGUUAACGAGUCUGGGGCAUUGAGAUCCACAAAGCUUAAGUAACUUCCCAAGGUCACACAGCAAGUUGGUAGCAGUGCCAGGACCAGAACUGAUUUCUGCUGACACCUCAUAGCCUGCGUGUUCCACUCCUUGCCGUGCCGUCCAGACUACCUUCUUUUCCACCUGGGUCCUUCAUGUCUAUCAAAUAUCACCUUGGAAACAGGCUUUUAGUCAGGAUGUUGUAGUGUCAAGGGCAACUGAAGUCUCCUCUACACUAGGACCCCAGGAAUCUAAGGGAGAAGGUAUUUCCGACCAUUUAUUAUGAUUUAUAAUUUCAGCCAGAAAUUUUUCUUCUGCUUCCUUUCUCAAUUAGGGAAAUGUGUGCUUUAGAAGAUUUUAAAUGCUUGGUUACUUAAGAGAGAAAGAAAACUCUGUUGCUUGUUCAUAUUAUUUGUGUUUUUUUCCAUGCAAAGACAGGAGGUUUUCAGCCAAGGCAAAUCAGAGUGGCUGACAUUCCCACGGGAAAGUGGGCCGGGCGUGAGAACAGGAUGUGUACCUGUCUGGAAGCUGGAGCCUUUGAUGUACAUCCACAAGAGCCCCAGAAGGAAGCUGUUUUGAUAAGCUGUGGUCACCAGGUGCUUGCUUUGCUGCAGUUUGGGAGGGAUCAAUGUUCCAGAGCAGCGGCUCACCAACCUUAGCAUGGCUCAGUUGCUGGGCUCCACUCCCAGAGUUUUUGGGUGAAUGCGUCCAGGGUGCGGCUGGGAAAUUUGCAUUUUUAAGAAUUUCCCCCUGAGGCUGAUGCUACAGUCUGGAGACCACACUUUGAGAACCACUAUUUCAGAGUAAAAUGCUGGUGGGAGGAAAGGAGCAGCAGGAAACAGCCGAUGACUGUGGUGUGGCCGGUCUUUCUCCCAGGCGGGGUGGGGUGUGUGUGCCAGGAUUGCAGGGUCACCAGGAGGGCCGGUUCUGUGGGGGCUGCUGAAAAUCCUUAUCCCUCCUUUCUAGACUAGUGGUUCUGAGACUUGGCAGCACAUUGGAAUCACUUUGGGAGCUUAAAAAAAGAUACUGAUGACUGGCUUCUAGCCCCAGACGUCCUGAUUUAAUUGGUUCACAAUGUGGUUUGGGCCCUGGAAGAUUUAAAAGCUCGCUAGGUGUUUCUGAUGUGUAGCCCAGGUCGAAAAAUCACGGUGCUAGGUCCACGUCUUACUGCAUUCUUAUAUCCAGUCCCCAGUAAGUGUAAGUUCUCACCACCCAUUCUCAAACCCUUCCAGCUGUCUCUCAUACCUCCCUGCCUCAGGCUGAAAAACACUGGCACCUGUCUGAGUACUGACUUCCUAUUUAUCCUUCAAGACGCAGGCCAAAUAUUUUUUCCGUGGUGGAGAUUUUUCUGGCUUUCCCUAACAGUUCAUCUCCUAAAGCACUGUGGAUACACUAGAACUAUAACCUUUAUCUUUCACUUCAUCGCAAUUACAUUCACGUGCUGAAUGUAAUGAUGUUUCAGUCAAAAACCGACUGUAUGUAUGAAGGUGGUCCCAUAAGAUUAUAAUGGGGCUGAAAAAUUCCUAUCACCUAGUGACGCUGUAGCCAUUGUCAUGUUGUAGCUCAAUUACUUUAUUUUAAAAAUAAACAGUGUAGCCUAAGUGUACUGUGUUUAUAAAGUCUACAGUAGUGGACAAUAAUAUCCCAGUCCUUCACAUUCACUCACCACUCACUCACUGACUCACCGAGAGUAACUUCGAGUUCUGCAACAGCCAUUUUGGUAAGUGCCCUAUACAGGUGUACCAUUUUUAAUCUUUUUUUUUUUUUUUUUUUUGAGAUGGAGUCUCGCUCUGUCGCCCAGGCUGGAGUACAGUGGCCCAGUCUUGGCUCACUGCAAGCUCCGCCUCCCGGGUUCAUGCCAUUCUCCUGCCUUAGCCUCUUGAGUAGCUGGGACUACAGGCGCCUGCCACCAUGCCCGGCUAAUUUUUUGUAUUUUCAGUAGAGACGGGGUUUCACUGUGUUAGCCAGGAUGGUCUCGAUCUCCUGACCUCGUGAUCCGCCCACCUUGGCCUCCCAAAGUGCUGGGAUUACAGGCAUGAGCCACCACGCCCAGCCCAUUUUUAAUCUUUUAUACUGUACCUUUUUCACGUGAGGUUUGUUUAGAUACCCAAAUACCAUUGUGUUACAAGUGGCUAUGAUAUUCAGUACAGUUACUUGCUGUACAGGUUUGUAGCCAAGGAGCAAUGGGCUAUACACCGUAGCCUGUUUGUGUUGUAGGCUGUAGGCUGUACCAUCUAGGAUUCUGUGAGUGCACUCUAUCAUGUUCACACAACAAAACUGCCUAAUGAUGCAUUUCCCAGAUGUAUCCCUGUCGUAAAGCCCUGACUGUAUUUCUGUUCAUAUCUUCCCUCCCUGCUUGAUGGUUAAUAAAAGUUGGUGAUUGAAUGAAUUCCAUAGUUGGAGAUAAUGUUAAAAUGCACAGGUUCUCUUUUUUGUUUUGUUUUUUUUUUUAUUGGAGACAGGGUCUCACUCUUUUGCCCAGGCUGGAGUGCAGUGUUGCAAUCAUGGCUCACUGCAGCCUCGACUUCCUAGACUGAAGAGAUCCUCCCACCUCAGCCUCCUUAGUAGCUGGGACCACAGGCGUGCACCACCACUCCUGGCUAAUUUUUGUAGUUCUGUAGAGAUGGGCCUUCACCAUGUUGCCCAGGCUGGUCUCGAACUCCUGGGCUCAAGCAAUCUGCCUGCCGUGGCCUCCCAAAGUGUUGGAAUUACAGGCCUGAGCCACUAUGCUCGGCUAUUGCACAAGUUCUGGAUAAGGAAGUUUAUUAAUAUCAGUUCUGUACAAUGAACCUAGUGCCUCCAGUGGGGUCAGACUUGGGUGGGUGCUGGAGAAGCAAAGUUGAGUGAGCAGUGCACACUGCCCCUGAGGAAUGAAUUCCUCUGCAGGCUGAGCUCUCUGAGGCUCCUUGUGCUUUCAUCAUGACAUUUAGCUUGGGAACUGCUUUCAGAGAUACUGACCUGGAGCACAGAGGAGCCUGGGUCUCCUUUUCAUCAUGCUCUUCUGUGGCUCUCACCACCCACAGGAUUAAGUAGGUUUCUUUGCAUGUCUUUCAUAAACUUGCGCUUGUCUGCCUCUCCCAAAUAUUUAAUUCCUUGACCCUGUUUGAUGCUUGGAUCCUAGUUCCUUGCACACACCAUGCUAUUGCCAACUUAUACCUUUCUAUUCCCCUGAGAUGAUCUUCUCACCUUUGCUAGUCCGGGU